UGUAAGCGUAUACCAAAGUUGUUGCAGUUAAAACGCUCGUAGUCGGAAUUUGGCAGUUCCGGAUGUGUGCACGUCGUGUGCGCACUUCGCGGGGAUUGCUUUUGUGGUCUUGCGUAGGAUGAGGCACUUUUAUUAGUGAACGUCCUCACGCAACCACUUUUUACUGUGAGAAAAUCAGAGUGCUCAAAGCAGGCAUUUGCCGUGAAUGUAUUAGCAUGGAAUAAUAGAAUAGGACUUGGUUCUAUUUUGUUGGCUUGUUGGGACUGAGUAAUGAUUAAGAGGGACAGUUGGGGGCAUUUGUAUUUCGGUGCUAGAGGUGAAAUUCUUAGAUUACCGAAAGACAAACUGCUGCGAAAGCGUCUGCCAAGGAUGUUUUCAUUGA
rnacentral:rRNA from 1 species